AAGUCGUAACAAGGUUUCCGUAGGUGAACCUGCGGAAGGAUCAUUAACGAAUAACUAUGGUGUUGGUUGUAGCUGGCUCCUCGGAGCAUUGUGCACGCCCGCCAUUUUUAUCUUUCCACCUGUGCACCGACUGUAGGUCUGGAUACCUCUCGCCUCCCUUCUCUUAGGGUUAAAGCGGAUGCGGGGAUUGCUCGCAAGGGCUCUCCUCAAACUUCCAGGCUCUACGUCUUUUUACACACCCCAAUAGUAUGAUCCAGAAUGAUAGUCAAUGGGCUUUCAUAGCCUAUAAAACACUAUACAACUUUCAGCAACGGAUCUCUUGGCUCUC
rnacentral:misc_RNA from 1 species